GCCCGGGUGGCGAAACAGGUACACGCACGUCACUUAAAAUGACGCGCCCGUAAGGGCUUGUGGGUUCGAUUCCCACCCCGGGCA
rnacentral:tRNA from 1 species